GUGAAAGCCCCGCUUGCGGGGUGGAUCAGUGGCGAACGGGUGAGUAACACGUGAGCAACCUGCCCCUGACUCUGGGAUAAGCGCUGGAAACGGCGUCUAAUACUGGAUACGAGACGUGAUCGCAUGGUCAACGUUUGGAAAGAUUUUUCGGUUGGGGAUGGGCUCGCGGCCUAUCAGCUUGUUGGUGAGGUAAUGGCUCACCAAGGCGUCGACGGGUAGCCGGCCUGAGAGGGUGACCGGCCACACUGGGACUGAGACACGGCCCAGACUCCUACGGGAGGCAGCAGUGGGGAAUAUUGCACAAUGGGCGCAAGCCUGAUGCAGCAACGCCGCGUGAGGGAUGACGGCCUUCGGGUUGUAAACCUCUUUUAGCAGGGAAGAAGCGAGAGUGACGGUACCUGCAGAAAAAGCACCGGCUAACUACGUGCCAGCAGCCGCGGUAAUACGUAGGGUGCAAGCGUUAUCCGGAAUUAUUGGGCGUAAAGAGCUCGUAGGCGGUUUGUCGCGUCUGCUGUGAAAUCUGGGGGCUCAACCCCCAGCCUGCAGUGGGUACGGGCAGACUAGAGUGCGGUAGGGGAGAUUGGAAUUCCUGGUGUAGCGGUGGAAUGCGCAGAUAUCAGGAGGAACACCGAUGGCGAAGGCAGAUCUCUGGGCCGUAACUGACGCUGAGGAGCGAAAGGGUGGGGAGCAAACAGGCUUAGAUACCCUGGUAGUCCACCCCGUAAACGUUGGGAACUAGUUGUGGGGUCCAUUCCACGGAUUCCGUGACGCAGCUAACGCAUUAAGUUCCCCGCCUGGGGAGUACGGCCGCAAGGCUAAAACUCAAAGGAAUUGACGGGGACCCGCACAAGCGGCGGAGCAUGCGGAUUAAUUCGAUGCAACGCGAAGAACCUUACCAAGGCUUGACAUAUACGAGAACGGGCCAGAAAUGGUCAACUCUUUGGACACUCGUAAACAGGUGGUGGCAUGGUUGUCGUCAGCUCGUGUCGUGAGAUGUUUGGGUUAAGUCCCGCAACGAGCGCAACCCUCGUUCUAUGUUGCCAGCACGUAAUUGGUGGGAACUCAUGGGAUACUG
rnacentral:rRNA from 1 species